rnacentral:lncRNA from 1 species
AGGGGAUCUAAAACCACCUGAUGUCCAACCAAAAGUGGAGGACAAAGUCCGGCACAGCACACGUCGCCCAGCCCCAAAACCCCCCACAGCAAAUGGAGCCAAUAGCAGAACCAACAUUCAGGCUGCUGCCACUGCUGCAAACACAUAUGCACGACCACAGGAACGACAGGUGUCUGGGAAUACACAUACACAAUCCUCCAGCACACUGAGAAACCAACGAAGAGGAGCAGUGGGAGCAGGAAGAGUAGGAGGACGAGGAGCGACAGCAAUGAAAGACAGGAGCCUUGGGGACAUCAGCGUAAAGGAAGGAGUGACAUCAGCGAAAGAAGAGAGAAGAGGAGGAAGACUGUGUGAUGAUUCCAAAGGGAGGGAGAAAGAGAGGUUUGGACAUCAGAAACGAAGAGAAGCAAACGGCCUGAAAAGCCAGGGAACUGAACAGAAAGGAAAAGCAGGCACUAAAUAUGGUAACAGUGGAGGGCGAUGCAAGUCGAAUAACAUACUGUCUAACCAGGAAGUUUAUCUGACAGCCAUGGUGGUUCCACGCACACCUGUAGCACCAAGAAACCAAGACAAGACCCAAGACCAAGGUCAAAACCAUGACAGGACCCAGGACAACCGCCCUGUUCUCUCCCGUUCCAGCAGUGAGGGAGGAUCAAACAGAAUGUCCCUUAGCUCAGACACAGAGGGGCCCCCACCAGGACCUCUACAUCCCUCUCUGUCUCACCGAACCAACCCUGACAUCAGCGAAGAGGACGGGGAGGGAGAUCCAGCUCCCUGCAUGAAUGUCCAGAAUGGUCCAAUCGACUGCUCUGCAAGUAAUGAAAAAACAGGGUUGGAGUGUGCAAAGUCAGAGGAGGAUGCAGGGGGAGGAAAGAGUGACAGCAAUGCUGAGGUGGUUGGCACCAACUCUCUCACUCAGGGAGAUUCUGUAGGUGCUCCCACAGUACCAAGGAGUGAAGCUACAGCAGGGUUAAAUUAUGACUCUGUCAAAUACACUCUGGUGGUUGAUGAAAAUGCUCAGUUGGAGCUGGUCAGCCUCAAGGACUGCUUACAUGGUUACAACGAGCACAAUGAUGACAGUGAUGCAGAAACAGUGUAUCAAUCAGCCAAUGAGGAGGAAGACCCAGAGUAUGAGGAGGAAAGGAAGAAGACAGAGGCAGCAAGGAAACAAGGUAAUGAUGCAGG